UGUUUGCGAAACUGAGAGCAUUAUUAUCGCGGUCUUUAACGACCGUCUUUUAGUAUUAUUGAAAUUAAAAGAAAAUGAAAAUUAGAUGAAAUACGAAAGAACGUUUCUUAUUUCGAGACCACAAGAGACGUAUUCAGGAACACGUGUUGUCCUUUGGGCGUUCAUCUCUUUCAUCUCUCUUUUUUCCAAGUUGAUUGCAGUUCUUCUUCCUUCAAGGGUUUUGUUCUCACUCGUCUCUCUUCUCUCACUCUACUCUCGCUCUUUGUGAUGACGACGAGAUCUGAUUCCGUUGACUGUCUUGUGCAAGACCCGCUAACCUCCUCAGAGAAAGCUUCGAUUUCUAGAGAAGAUUCGUCUGAAGACUCGAUAAAGGUCGUUUCUUUACAUGAGAAAGAAGCCCAGGCGAUGAUGGAUGUGGAUUGUCCCGGAGUCUUUUCUGUAUCCGAAGCUAGCUCCUCGUUUCUUGAUGAGGAUAAGGUUGAGCUGAAACAGAUCAAGGAAACGUCUGCUGAACAAGAUGAUGUGCACAAGGGAGACUGAUGGGUCUGUUGUUGUUUGUAUCUCUGAGAAGAAGGGACAAGAUGAUUCCACCGAUGUUGAGAGACUUCUGGAGGCUGAGAAGAGAAGACUGUUGGCUGAGAUCGAAACGGGAACUAUCUUCAGGAAGAAGGAAGAUGUUGUGGAGACGCUCGGAAAGAACGGAAUGGAUCUAAAGUGGAGCGAGUGAGAGUCAAGGACAACACUUUUGUUGGGAUCAGGACUAUGAAGAUUGAUAUGGUUGAUGACACUGUGUUGCUCAACGUUGUUCCUUUCUGCAAGAAAGAUAAAGAUCAUCAUCCGAAGAGGUCAGGAGCUGCACACAGUGAUGCUGCAGCGUUUACAAUCAAAACGAUUGAUGAUUCUAGAACACUGAACAAGACAUUGUACCUUAAGGCUGCCUGGAAACGUAUGUUCGAUGAAUGAUCUUGUUGAGCUAUGGGAAAGGAAUAUUGAGAAGAAGCUUGAGAAAACUUGUGUUACUGAAAGUAAACUUCUCGAGAAGAUCAGAGAGACUCCAUACCCGAGUGACAUGGAGAUGGUCUUCAUAUACUCUGUUUUUAUCGAAGGACAUCACUCGUACUUUGACAUUGAUGAGUCUUCUGGUGGAGUAAAUGGUACUGAUAGUUGCAGGUGGAAUUAGGAACAAUGGAACAAGUACACGCAAGACUUGUCACUGCCUCACCAUGCCAACAAGCAGUGCAGGUCAGUUUGCCAUUGGUUCUGACCUGUGGUCUUGUUUUCUUCUUGUUUAGCACAUGUAUAUUGUAUUGUUGUAGUUACGUUGAAAGUGUAUUCACAAGUCGUUGUUCUUCCUUUUCAAGUUGUUUCUUCUUUCUCAAGUUA